GUAGGCAGCGAGCGUUGUUCGGAGUUACUGGGCGUAAAGAGUGCGUAGGCGGUUUUCUAAGUUUGGUGUGAAAUCUCCCGGCUUAACUGGGAGGGUGCGCCGAAGACUGGAAGGCUUGAGUAUGGGAGAGGUAAGCGGAAUUCAUGGUGUAGCGGUGAAAUGCGUAGAUAUCAGGAGGAACACCUGCGGUGUAGACGGCUUACUGGACCAUAACUGACGCUGAGGCACGAAAGCGUGGGUAGCAAACAGGGAUUAGAUACCCUGGUAGUCCACGCCCUAAACGAUGCAUACUUGGUGUGGGUAGUUCAUUCUAUCCGUGCCGGAGCUAACGCGUUAAGUAUGCCGCCUGGGGAUACGGUCGCAAGGCUG
rnacentral:rRNA from 1 species